UACAGAGGGGGCAAGCGUUAUUCGGAAUUACUGGGCGUAAAGGGCUCGUAGGUGGCCAACUAAGUCGGACGUGAAAUCCCUCGGCUUAACCGGGGAACUGCAUCCGAUACUGGAUGGCUUGAGUUCGGGAGAGGGAUGCGGAAUUCCAGGUGUAGCGGUGAAAUGCGUAGAUAUCUGGAGGAACACCGGUGGCGAAGGCGGCAUCCUGGACCGACACUGACGCUGAGGAGCGAAAGCCAGGGGAGCAAACGGG
rnacentral:rRNA from 1 species